rnacentral:rRNA from 1 species
UACGAGGGAUCCUAGCGUUGUUCGGAAUCAUUGGGCGUAAAGAGUGUGUAGGCGGUGCUCUAAGUUCGGUGUGAAAUCUCCCGGCUCAACUGGGAGGGUGCGCCGGAAACUGGGGUGCUGGAGCGCGGGAGAGGAAAGCGGAAUUCCUGGUGUAGCGGUGAAAUGCGUAGAUAUCAGGAGGAACACCGGCGGUGUAGACGGCUUUCUGGACCGUAGCUGACGCUGAGACACGAAAGCGUGGGUAGCAAACAGG